rnacentral:rRNA from 1 species
CCCUUAGAUGUUCUGGGCCGCACGCGCGCUACACUGAUGCAUUCAACGAGCCUAGCCUUGACCGAGAGGUCCGGGUAAUCUUUGAAACUGCAUCGUGAUGGGGCUAGAUUAUUGCAAUUAUUAAUCUUCAACGAGGAAUGCCUAGUAAGCGUGAUUCAUCAAAUCGCGUUGAUUACGUCCCCGCCCUUUGUACACACCGCCCGUCGCUCCUACCGAUUGAGUGUGUUGGUGAGGAGUUUGGAUUGGCCUCGGAAGGUGGUUCGCCACCGUCCGUAGCUGAGAAGUUCUCCAAACCGCCCCACUUAGAGGAAGGAGAAGUCGUAACA